rnacentral:lncRNA from 1 species
ACGCUGCCUGCCAAGGACUGCAAAUAACCUGCCUGUGUGCUUGCCACUGCCUUCACCCCUUAAAAAGUAGACUCGAAGGAGCUGCAGAAAUGUGGUGGCUUCAGCAGCUUGGGCUGCCCCAGCAGCCACCCACGCACAGAGGAUGCCAUCCUGGGAACUGGACAUUCCUGGCAGGGCUCGAUGCCCCUUCCCUCACUGGGCAGCAGUGACUGUUACACUGGAGGAAAGUGUUCCCUGGACACUCCCAGAGACAACUAUAUCACCAGAGCAGGUACAGUACAACAGCCAAACAAACCUCUUAUUCCAUGUCAGGCCUGUAGAGCAUCCCUGGGAGGGGGAGGAUGCGUUGGCACUUGGCCUGGAGGCUGGUGACUAAGGAGCCUGUGGUGUCGGGGUUGUUGCAGUGUAAACUUGCACCUGAACCCGAGCAAACUGGGCUGUGACAAGCAUUGCCAGCAAGGAGCAGCAGAGCAGCUGGUCCCUGUGCCUGGGAAACCCCUUCUGAGCCGUGGGAUC